AUUGAACGCUGGCGGCAGGCUUAACACAUGCAAGUCGAGCGGAGAUGAGGUGCUUGCACCUUAUCUUAGCGGCGGACGGGUGAGUAAUGCUUAGGAAUCUGCCUAUUAGUGGGGGACAACAUUCCGAAAGGAAUGCUAAUACCGCAUACGUCCUACGGGAGAAAGCAGGGGAUCUUCGGACCUUGCGCUAAUAGAUGAGUCUACGUCGGAUUAGCUAGUUGGCGGGGUAAAGGCCUACCAAGGCGACGAUCUGUAGCGGGUCUGAGAGGAUGAUCCGCCACACUGGGACUGAGACACGGCCCAGACUCCUACGGGAGGCAGCAGUGGGGAAUAUUGGACAAUGGGGGGAACCCUGAUCCAGCCAUGCCGCGUGUGUGAAGAAGGCCUUAUGGUUGUAAAGCACUUUAAGCGAGGAGGAGGCUACUGAGACUAAUACUCUUGGAUAGUGGACGUUACUCGCAGAAUAAGCACCGGCUAACUCUGUGCCAGCCGCCGCAGUAAAAC
rnacentral:rRNA from 1 species